GGGCAAUGUUACUAUCCUUUACCACACUUGUGCUUCAAAGUAGCACCAUGUUUUUCAUGUAGAGAGUCUCCUAUGUUGUCACUUUCAUAUACUAGUGGGAAUUUUCAUUAUAGAACUUGGCUUGUAUAUUCAUAUGAUGGGCUUCCUCAAAUGCCCAAGGUCUUCAUGAGCAAGCAAGUUGGAUGGAAACCCACUUAGUUUCAUGUUGAUAUUCCAUACACUUAUAGCUCUUAGUGUAUCCGUUGCAUGGCAAUCCCUACUCCUCGCAUUGGUAUCGAUUAAUGGGCAUCUCCAU
rnacentral:lncRNA from 1 species